rnacentral:rRNA from 2 species
UGGUCAAGAAGAAAAGGGCAUACGGUGGAUGCCUUGGCGCUAUGGGCCGAAGAAGGGCGCGGUAAGCUGCGAAAAGCUACGGGGAGCUGCAAGCAAGCCUUGAUCCGUAGAUACCCGAAUGGGGCAACCCGGCGGAGCAAACCUCCGUCACCCUAUGCUGAACACAUAGGCAUAGAGGAGGGCACCCGGGGAACUGAAACAUCUAAGUACCCGGAGGAAAAGAAAGAAACAUCGAACCCCUCAGUAGCGGCGAGCGAACAGGGGCGAGCCUAAACCAGAUUUCUUCGGAAAUCUGGGGUUGCGGGACCCUCAUCACGUGAAGACUAGACCUAGCCGAAGACACCUGGAAAGGUGCUGCACAGAAGGUAAAACACCUGUAGGCGAAAGGUCGAAAUUUGCAGAGGAAAUCCCAAGUACCGCAGGACACGUGAAACCCUGUGGGAAUCCGGGGGGACCACCCCCCAAGGCUAAAUACCCAUAGCGACCGAUAGUGAACAAGUACCGUGAGGGAAAGGUGAAAAGCACCCCGGGAGGGGAGUGAAAAAGAACCUGAAACCGUAUGCUUACAAGCUGUCAGAGCACGGUUAAAGUGUGAUGGCGUACUUUUUGUAGAACGGACCGGCGAGUUACAUCUAACGUGCAGGUUAAGUUGUGAAAGACGGAGCCAUAGCGAAAGCGAGUCUUAAUAGGGCGCAAUGUACGUUGGAGUAGACCCGAAACCUGGUGAUCUACCCAUGUCCAGAGUGAAGCUUUAGUAAAAUAAAGUGGAGGCUCGAACCGACCUUCGUUGAAAAGGAGGCGGAUGAGGUGUGGGUAGGGGUGAAAUGCCAAUCGAACCAGGAGAUAGCUGGUUCUCCCCGAAAUAGCUUUAGGGCUAGCCUCGGUUUGAGGUAUACGGAGGUAGAGCACUGAAUGGGCUAGGGGCCUUCACGGGUUACCGAACCCAAUCAAACUCCGAAUGCCGUAAUACCAUAACCGGGAGUCAGACUGCGGGUGCUAAGAUUCGUAGUCAAGAGGGAAACAGCCCAGACCAACAGCUAAGGUCCCCAAGACAUGCUAAGUGGAAAAGGAUGUGGGGUUGCAGAGACAACCAGGAUGUUGGCUUAGAAGCAGCCACCAUUUAAAGAGUGCGUAAUAGCUCACUGGUCAAGUGGCCCUGCGCCGAAAAUGAAACGGGGCUAAGCAUGACACCGAAGCUUUGGAUUCUCGAGGUUCGAUGUUCGAGAUUCGAUGUUCGAAAGGAGAACUCACAUGAUAAAAGAUUAUCAUGACCUAGAAGUGUAUAAAAGAGGAUAUAAACUGGCUCUUGAAAUACACAAAUCAACAAAGAGUUUUCCACAGCAUGAGAUGUAUGAGAUAGGGAGCCAAUUAAGACGUGCAGCUGUAUCAAUACCUCUGAAUAUUGCUGAGGGAUAUGGCAGAAAGAACUAUGUAGACGAUUUUAAAAGGUUCUUAAUAAAUGCACUUGGUUCUUGUAAUGAAGUUGCAGUGCUAUUAGAUAUGAUUAAGGAUUUAGGAUAUAUCUCUGAAGAGUACGAGGUACUAAAAGAGGAAUACGAUCAUCUAGGCAGGCAGCUUAACAGAUUAAUACAAACAUGGAAAUAAUCGAAUUUCGAACUUCGAAUAUCGAACUUCGAGAAUGGUAGGGGAGCGUUCCUAGUUCGUAGAAGUCGUACCGAAAGGAGCGGUGGAGGACUAGGAAGUGAGAAUGCCGGUAUGAGUAAGCGAAAAGGCAGGUGAGAAUCCUGCCCGCCGAAAACCUAAGGUUUUCUGGGGAAGGUUCGUCCGCCCAGAGUAAGUCGGGACCUAAGCCGAGGCCGCAAGGCGUAGGCGAUGGACAAUCGGUUGAGAAUCCGAUACCACCAAUAACCGUUUGAGGAUGGAGUGACGCAGGAGGGUAGGUUAAGCCAGCGGUUGGAAAAGCUGGUCCAAGCCGGUAGGGAGUGUGGUAGGCAAAUCCGCCACACGUAAUCCUGAGAGGUGACGGGGAGCGAAAAAUAGUAGCGAAGUAACUGAUCCCAAACUGCCAAGAAAAGCUUCUAACUAGGUAAAUUGGUGCCCGUACCGUAAACCGACACAGGUAGGUGGGGUGAAAAUCCUAAGGCGCGCGAGAGAACCCUCGUUAAGGAACUCGGCAAAAUGACCCCGUAACUUCGGGAGAAGGGGUGCCUCGUUAUCGUGAAAGAAAAGCUUCUGGAGCGAGAAGAGGCCGCAGAGAAAAGGCCCAAGCGACUGUUUACCAAAAACACAGGUCCCUGCUAAAGCGAAAGCUGACGUAUAGGGGCUGACGCCUGCCCGGUGCUGGAAGGUUAAGGGGAAAUGUUAGCGGAAGCGAAGCAUAGAACCGAAGCCCCAGUAAACGGCGGCCGUAACUAUAACGGUCCUAAGGUAGCGAAAUUCCUUGUCAGGUAAGUUCUGACCCGCACGAAAGGCGUAACGAUUUGGGCACUGUCUCAACGAGGGGCUCGGUGAAAUUGUAAUGACGGUGAAGAUGCCGUCUACCUGCGACAGGACAGAAAGACCCCGUGGAGCUUUACUGUAGCUUGACAUUGGGUUUUGGUAUUUGAUGUACAGGAUAGGUGGGAGACUUGGAAAUCGGGACGCCAGUUUCGAUGGAGUCGCCGUUGGGAUACCACCCUUUAGAUAUUGAAAUUCUAACUUAAUGCCUUGAAGCAGGUAUAAGGACAGUGUCAGGUGGGCAGUUUGACUGGGGCGGUCGCCUCCCAAAAGGUAACGGAGGCGCCCAAAGGUUCCCUCAGCGCGGACGGAAAUCGCGCGUUAGAGUGCAAAGGCAAAAGGGAGCUUGACAGCGAGACCAACAAGUCGAGCUGGUACGAAAGUAGGGCUUAGUGAUCCGGCGGUUCUGAGUGGAAGGGCCGUCGCUCAACGGAUAAAAGCUACCCCGGGGAUAACAGGCUUAUCUCCCCCAAGAGUCCACAUCGACGGGGAGGUUUGGCACCUCGAUGUCGGCUCAUCGCAUCCUGGGGCUGAAGUAGGUCCCAAGGGUUGGGCUGUUCGCCCAUUAAAGCGGUACGUGAGCUGGGUUCAGAACGUCGUGAGACAGUUCGGUCCCUAUCCGUCGCAGGCGCAGGAAACUUGAGAAGAGCUGUCCCUAGUACGAGAGGACCGGGAUGGACGGAUCACUGGAGUACCAGCUAUCGUGCCAACGGUAGCGCUGGGUAACUAUAUCCGGACGGGAUAAGUGCUGAAAGCAUCUAAGCACGAAGCCCCCUUCAAGAUGAGGUUUCCCACUACGCAAGUAGGUAAGAUCCCAUGCAGACUACGUGGUAGAUAGGCCGGGUGUGUAAGCACAGUAAUGUGUUGAGCUGACCGGUACUAAUAGAUCGAGGUCUUGACCAAAU